AAGCUCUGUUGUAAGAGAAAAACGGCACUCAUAGGGAUAUGAAUGAGUGAGUGAUGGUAUCUUACCAGAAAGUCACGGCUGACUACGUGCCAGCAGCCGCGGUAAUACGUAGGUGGCGAGCGUUAUCCGGAAUGAUUGGGCGUAAAGGGUGCGUAGGUGGCAGAUCAAGUCUGGAGUAAAAGGUAUGGGCUCAACCCGUACUUGCUCUGGAAACUGAUCAGCUAGAGAACAGAAGAGGACGGCGGAACUCCAUGUGUAGCGGUAAAAUGCGUAGAUAUAUGGAAGAACACCGGUGGCGAAGGCGGCCGUCUGGUCUGGAUACUGACACUGAAGCACGAAAGCGUGGGGAGCAAAUAGGAUUAGAUACCCUAGUAGUCCACGCCGUAAACGAUGAGAACUAGGUGUUGGGGGAAUAACUCAGUGCCGCAGUUAACGCAGUAAGUUCUCCGCCUGGGGAGUAUGCACGCAAGUGUGAAACUCAAAGGAAUUGACGGGGGCCCGCACAAGCGGUGGAGUAUGUGGUUUAAUUCGAAGCAACGCGAAGAACCUUACCAGGCCUUGACAUCCCUUGCAGAGGUAUAGAGAUAUAUCCGAGGUUAUCAAGGAGACAGGUGGUGCAUGGUUGUCGUCAGCUCGUGUCGUGAGAUGUUGGGUUAAGUCCCGCAACGAGCGCAACCCUUGUGAUAUGUUACUAACAUUGAGUUGAGGACUCAUAUCAGACUGCCGGUGAUAAACCGGAGGAAGGUGGGGAUGACGUCAAAUCAUCAUGCCCCUUAUGGCCUGGGCUACACACGUACUACAAUGGCGUCUACAAAGAGCGGCAAGCCUGUGAAGGCAAGCGAAUCUCAUAAAGGACGUCUCAGUUCGAAUUGAAGUCUGCAACCCGACUUCAUGAAGCUGGAAUCGCUAGUAAUCGCGAAUCAGCAUGUCGCGGUGAAUACGUUCUCGGGCCUUGCACUCAACGCCCGUCAA
rnacentral:rRNA from 1 species